rnacentral:rRNA from 1 species
UACGGAGGGUGCAAGCGUUAAUCGGAAUUACUGGGCGUAAAGCGUGCGCAGGCGGUUUGUUAAGUCCGUUGUGAAAGCCCCGAGCUCAACUUGGGAAUUGCAGUGGAUACUGGCAGGCUGGAGUACGGUAGAGGAAGGUGGAAUUCCCGGUGUAGCGGUGAAAUGCGCAGAUAUCGGAGGAACACCGGUGGCGAAGGCGGUUCUCUGGGCCUGUACUGACGCUGAGGAGCGAAAGCGUGGGGAGCAAACAGGA